UUUUUCACCAAUGGAGAAGCUGCAAAUCCCUGUCCACGUAUAUUUCUUUAGUUGGCUUCUCACUCUCGGUAAGGAAAUGAUUUACGACUUGAAAUUCUUGUACGAUGGCCUCGAUCAGUCUGGUCUUCACGUGGUAGUUAAAAGAUCAUGAUUGUCAUGCUUAUUAUUUGCUUGUUUAAGAAUCCAAGUUAAAGAUCCAUUUUUGAUUCGGUGGUUCCUCAAUUUGAAUUCAUU
rnacentral:lncRNA from 1 species